rnacentral:tRNA from 1 species
GACCGCGUAGCUCAGUUGGCAGAGCAUUGGGCUAGUAUUCCAAAGGUCGUGGGUUCGAUUCCCACCGUGGCA